CCCAGUUCGGAUUGCAGUCUGCAACUCGAGUGCAUGAAGCUGGAAUCGCUAGUAAUCGCGAAUCAGAAUGUCGCGGUGAAUACGUUCCCGGGUCUUGUACACACCGCCCGUCACACCAUGGGAGUCGGGAAUGCCCGAAGCCGGUGACCCAACCUUAGGGAGGGAGCCGUCGAAGGCAGGCCUGGUAACUGGGGUGAAGUCGUAACAAGGUAAC
rnacentral:rRNA from 1 species